UGGGUGCUAUUACGUUUGUAAUGUCCUGCGUGCAGGGAAAGGGAUCACAUGUGGCAGUCAUUGAUAAGGGGAGAGGGCCAUGGAUUAGUGAUGAAGGGGGUCGAGGUCAGGUCAGGUCACGUUAAGGGAUAAAGAAACGUUUAUGGCUGUAGUACUUAGUUUCCUGCCUAGCAGUAAAGACACAAUGUUUGCUCAGAUGGGUGGGAGGAGACUCAACCUAGGAGGAAGGGUAAAACAUCCGUGCUUGUGUGAAAAUGUUUUUUUUUUGUCUAAUGCAGUUGUGUUGAUCCUCUGGGAAGAAUAUACUUGGUUAUGCUUUCAUAGUGUCCGUUGAGUUUUUACUCUGAAAAUUAGAACCCAACGGCACUGUGAGCAGGGUACACAGCGAUGAGCGUUCGAACUAGAGAUUCCGAAUCAGUGAAACAGGAGCCGGCACCAGAAAUAAGCAGAACGGGAUGAGAUGACAGGAAAAGAGAAGUGGGGGUGGAUCUGAUAACCCCUCUCACAAGUACGAAUCACACUCUUUUACUGUGUAAUCAUUCACCAUAAAUGCUUCAUAUACUGCACGGCGACAUUAUAAAUACAGUGGGGCAAAAAUGUAUUUAGUCAGCCACCAAUUGUGCAUGUUCUCCUACUUAAAAAGAUGAGAGAGGCCUGUAAUUUUCAUCUCAUCAUAGGUACACUUCAACUAUGACAGACAAAAUGAGAAAAAGAAAUCCAGAAAAUCAUAUCAAUUGUUAAUGAAUUUAUUUGCAAAUUAUGGUGGAAAAUAAGUAUUUGGUCAAUAACAAAAGUUUAUCUCAAUACUUUGUUAUAUACCCUUUGUUGGGGUUUGGCAUUUGAACUGUGUUCAUGAGGCAUUUAUGUUAUAUUUCUCAAGAUUCAAUGGGUAGAUUUAAUUAAGUCCAAAAAUGGAUGCAGAAAUAGCAGAUUGCCCCUUUAAUUUGCGACUCUAGGGGCAGUAUUUUCAUUUUUGGAGAAAAAAAAAUCGCGUUUUAAACGGGAUAUUUUGUCAGGACAAGAUGCUAGAAUAUGCAUAUAAUUGACAACUUUGGAUAGAAAACACUCUAACGUUUCCAAAAUGUUAAAGAUAUUGUCUGUGAGUAUAACAGAACUGAUGUUGCAGGCUAAAGCCUGAGAAAAAUCCAAUCCGGAAGUGCCCCAGGUUUUGAAAGCGCUGCGUUCCAAUGAGUCCCUAUUGAGCUGUGAAUGUGCCAUCAACGAGCUUACGCUUUCUACGUAUUCCCCAGGGUGUCUACAGCAUUGUGACGUAGUUUUACGCAUUUAUGUUGAAGAAUAGCCGUAGGCAGCUACAUUGCGUAAGUGGUCACAUGGUGGCUCCGAGAGAGAUUCUUGUGUAAAAUACAGAGGUAGCCAUUACUCCAAUCGGUCCUACUGAAUAACUAAUUGUCCCGACGGAUAUAUUAUCGAAUAGAUAUUAGAAAAACACCUUGAGGAUUGAUUAUAAACAACGUUUGCCAUGUUUCUGUCGAUAUUAUGGAGCUAAUUUGGAAUAUUUUUCGCCGUUUUCGUGACUGCAAUUUCAGGGCGAUUUCUCAGCCAAACGUGAAGAACAAAUGGAGCUAUUUCGCCUACAAAAAUAAUCUUUUGGGAAAACAUUUACUUUGGCUAUCUACCUGGGAGUCUCGUGAGUGAAAACAUCCAAAGUUGAUCAAAGGUAAACGAUUUAAUUUGAUUGCUUUUCUGAUUUGUGACAAGGUUGCCUGCUGCUAGCAAGGCAUAAUGCUAUGCUAGGCUAUCGAUAAACUUACACAAAUGCUUGUCUAGCUUUGGCUGUAAAGGAUAUUUUGAAAAUCUGAGAUGACAGGGUGAUUAACAAAAGGCUAAGCUGUGUCUCAAUAUAUUUCAUUUGUGAUUUUCAUGAAUAAGAAUAUUUUCUAGGGAUAUUUAUGUCCGUUGCGUUAUGCUAAUUAGUGUCAGGUGAUGAUUACGCUCCCGGAUCCGGGAUGGGGAGUCACAAGAAGCCCUUUAACUCAAACAUUUGUGAGCCUAAGAUCUAUACUAGGCUGAAAGGAGGUUUGACCAAAUGAGGUUUUAUGGAAACAUUUUCAAUGACAACAUCCAUUUACUGUAAGAAAGCACUCAUUCCAUCAGGUGGAUAAAAAAAAUAAAAAGUUUAUAAAAAAGCAUAAUGCAAAGAUAAUUUAAAAGUACAGGCCAUUAGAAGAAAACAUGAAUAAUACUUAUAAUAUUUUGGAAAUUCAUAUGCAAAUAUGUUAUUCUAUCAUCUGCAUAACAGACAUAAUAAAUCAAAGAUAACCAUUGUAACACAUUUACAACAAUACAGUACAAUUCAAUACACAACACAAAGCAGAUACAAUUACUGUAGCUGCAGAUAAGAUCCAUUAUCAUUACACCACACAAUAGAAAAAGCUGUUACAGUAAUACACAAUCAAACCAUGCUUAAAUACAAUAUAUCUGUUGAUAAAUAAAAUAAGAAACAAAUCCUUAAUGUACAAGGUGUUAUUGUGUGUGUGUGUGUGUGCGUGCGUGCGUGCGUGCGUGCGUGCGUGCGUGCGUGUGUGUGUGUGUGUGUGUUUGCGUGUGUCCCGCCAUCCCGCCAUCCCUCCAUCCCUCAAGGACCUGCAACAUUUCACCACACAAAGUAGUUUAGGACACGCAGUCAAACAAUCUCUUAAGAAUCAAACAAAUAGACGUCCUUUAAGUAGUGUUGAAAUCUAGCUUGAAAUAUACUUAUUCAUGUUAUCAUUCUAGAAUCGAUUGAUUACUUCACAUGUAUAAGGAAUGUAUAUGAUGGGGCCAAUGAAGGGUUGAUGGGAACUAGGUGUGUGGAAAGUUACUGAGUGUAGAAAGUUCAUAUUCUGUUCCAUGUUUCUAAGGAGGGAGGUGAAGGGCAACAGUUAAUCACUGAUAAGGCAGGCCAGCUGCGGAACUAGGGAGGAGUGAAGAAUGCGUCUUGAGGUCGAAUCAACGGAUGAAGUGAGAAGAAACCUCUGGGAGGGAGACCAGAGAGGCCCACCACAAUGACUUGUCUACUACAGUCCUACAGUCCUAUCUCACACAUACACUUCCAUGCCCACAAAUGUUUUAGUAUCAGGCAGGUCUGACUACACCAGUGAGAGGUACCAAUUAAAUCCCUGCCUAGCAACGGAGAUGUAUUGGUUGUCUAGAUUUGUAAGGAGUUGACCUCGCCUAGUGCAAAGUUAUAAAUAUAUGUGCUUGUGUAUUCAUGCCUCGUCUUUGCAGAUGUAUGACCCAGAGGGGGAAUAAACUUGGUUUGAGCUUUU